UGAGGAAUAUUGGGCAAUGGCCGCAAGGCUGACCCAGCCACGCCGCGUGGAGGAUGAAUGUGGUAAGAUUGGAAACUCGUGUUAGAGGGAAAGAAUCGUACCCCUCGUACCGGCAUAGGACUGUACCCUCCCAAAAAACCCCGGCUAACUAAAUG
rnacentral:rRNA from 1 species